UUCAACCAAGUCUUCAAUCCCUUUUCAUCUAACCAGAUGAAUCAAACGACCCUUUUCUUCAACCAAACUAAACCUUAGCGGUAUCCCACCAAAUCGGCCGAACAACCUGGGCCUAGCCAUGUUAGAGGUGCUAUUCAACUCUCACAUCCGCCUAUAUCCCCUCUUAUCCUUUCUCACACUCCAUCUAUGAAGAUUGCAGGGUCCAUGUGCGAUUUCAGCAGCUUUUUCUGGUACCCAUAUAUGGAUAGACGAGGUUAGAUGAAGAUGAUCCAGUGGAUUGGCGGGCUCCAUUUCCUCCAGGAGUGCUGCCGAGUCAGAGUAUGUAUGCUGUGAUGUCUGAUCAGUAUUAGAGACUUUGCAGACAGCGUCGUGGGUAAUGGUUGUCAGUCUGUAAGCGGCUCCAUCAGCCGAUACGUUAUUUUGUGUUAUGUAGUAAACUUCAUAGGUUUACAGAUUUUUGUUUAAUCUUGAUCGGUAAGAGGAAUAUUUUGACAGCUUAAUAUGUAUUUUACUUGUAUUUGAUUUGAUGGAUCCCAAGGAAUUAGGUGUGUAAUCAGAGUCUGCGGGUUCGCUCGGCUCCAUAUAUGGGGCCGGGUGCCCAUCACACCCUAAUAAGGUUAGGGUGUGACAUUGUUGUUGAUCUUACCUUAUGUUACUUGCUCCUUCAAGGAGGGAUAUAACGAUGAUGAUUAUUCCAUAUCAUAAAUCGGGGUUACCGACCUUACGUCAUUCCUAUUAA